rnacentral:rRNA from 1 species
UACGAAGGGGGGCUAGCGUUGCUCGGAAUCACUGGGCGUAAAGCGCACGUAGGCGGAUUGCUAAGUCAGGGGUGAAAUCCUGGAGCUCAACUCCAGAACUGCCUUUGAUACUGGCGAUCUUGAGUCCGGGGAGAGGUGAGUGGAACUGCGAGUGUAGAGGUGAAAAUUCGUAGAUAUUCGCAAGAACACCAGUGGCGAAGGCGGCUCACUGGCCCCGGUACUGACGCUGAGGUGCGAAAAGCGUGGGGGAGCAAACAGG